rnacentral:pre_miRNA from 1 species
AUUGGGAAGAGGAAGAAUAGAUAGAGGGUCUGAGAGUGGUGGACAUGGGAACAUGAAGGAAAGCCCAAACUCUUCUGUUCCUCUUAAACUAGGGGUUAAGAUUUGGGUGACAUGUUUUCCUAAUGCCUCCCAUGCCUAUUGUUCUUAGAUGCUCCUUCCUCUUCCUUUUGGUU